UCACAAGAUAUAAUACACCAGCUCACCAC
rnacentral:piRNA from 1 species